rnacentral:rRNA from 1 species
AUGAACGCUAGCUACAGGCUUAACACAUGCAAGUCGAGGGGCAGCGGUAUCGAAAGCUUGCUUUCGGUAGCCGGCGACCGGCGCACGGGUGAGUAACGCGUAUCGAACCUGCCUCAUACUCGGGAAUAGCCUUGCGAAAGUAAGAUUAAUGCCCGGUGUUUUCAGAGUCCCGCAUGAGGCUUUGAACAAAGAUUUAUCGGUAUGAGAUGGCGAUGCGUCCCAUUAGCUUGUUGGCGGGGUAACGGCCCACCAAGGCAUCGAUGGGUAGGGGUUCUGAGAGGAAGGUCCCCCACAUUGGAACUGAGACACGGUCCAAACUCCUACGGGAGGCAGCAGUGAGGAAUAUUGGUCAAUGGGCGGAAGCCUGAACCAGCCAAGUAGCGUGCAGGAAGACGGCCCUCCGGGUUGUAAACUGCUUUUAGUUGGGAAUAAAACGGGGCUCGUGAGCCCCCUUGCAUGUACCAUCAGAAAAAGGACCGGCUAAUUCCGUGCCAGCAGCCGCGGUAAUACGGAAGGUCCGGGCGUUAUCCGGAUUUAUUGGGUUUAAAGGGAGCGCAGGCGGACCUUUAAGUCAGCUGUGAAAUACGGCGGCUCAACCGUCGAACUGCAGUUGAUACUGGAGGUCUUGAGUGCACACAGGGAUGCUGGAAUUCAUGGUGUAGCGGUGAAAUGCUCAGAUAUCAUGAAGAACUCCGAUCGCGAAGGCAGGCAUCCGGGGUGCAACUGACGCUGAGGCUCGAAAGUGCGGGUAUCAAACAGGAUUAGAUACCCUGGUAGUCCGCACAGUAAACGAUGAAUACUCGCGGUUUGCGAUACAAUGUAAGCCGCCAAGCGAAAGCGUUAAGUAUUCCACCUGGGGAGUACGCCGGCAACGGUGAAACUCAAAGGAAUUGACGGGGGCCCGCACAAGCGGAGGAACAUGUGGUUUAAUUCGAUGAUACGCGAGGAACCUUACCCGGGCUUGAACUGCAGGCGAACGAUUCAGAGAUGAUGAGCCCCUUCGGGGCGCCUGUGGAGGUGCUGCAUGGUUGUCGUCAGCUCGUGCCGUGAGGUGUCGGCUUAAGUGCCAUAACGAGCGCAACCCCUGUUCUCAGUUGCCAUCGGGUGAUGCUGGGCACUCCGGGGACACUGCCAUCGUAAGAUGUGAGGAAGGUGGGGAUGACGUCAAAUCAGCACGGCCCUUACGUCCGGGGCUACACACGUGUUACAAUGGGCGGUACAGAGGGCAGCCACUGCGCGAGCAGGAGCCAAUCCUCAAAGCCGUUCUCAGUUCGGACUGGAGUCUGCAACCCGACUCCACGAAGCUGGAUUCGCUAGUAAUCGCGCAUCAGCCAUGGCGCGGUGAAUACGUUCCCGGGCCUUGUACACACCGCCCGUCAAGCCAUGAAAGCCGGGAGCACUUGAAGGCCGUGACCGCAAGGGUCGGUCUAGAGUGAUACUGGUAAUUGGGGCU